rnacentral:rRNA from 1 species
GGGAGGGCGUACGGUGGAUGCCUUGGCGAUAUCAGCCGAAGAAGGACGCGGUAAGCUGCGAUAAGCUACGGAGAGGUGCAAGCAACCUUUGACCCGUAGAUUUCCGAAUGGGGGAACCCGGCAGUGGUUAUGCACUGUCACCCAUACCUUUGAGUAUGAGGAGGGCACCUGGGGAACUGAAACAUCUAAUUACCCAGAGGAAGAGUAAUCAAACGAGAUUUUCUUAGUAGCGGCGAGCGAACGGGAAAGAGGCCAAACCGGAGCGGGCAACCGCACCGGGGUUGAGGACAGUCAUCAAGUGUAAAUGAGGUAGAAGAAUCGAGUUGGAAAGCUCAGCCGAAGAAGGUGAAAGCCCUGUAAUCGAAACCUUGCAUACAUGGGAUUGUAUCCAGAGUACCACGAGACACGUGAAACCUUGUGGGAAGCAGGGGGGACCACCCUCCAAGCCAAAAUACUGAUAUCGACCGAUAGCGCAUAGUACCGUGAGGGAAAGGUGAAAAGAACCCCUGGCGGGGAGUGAAAGAGAACCUGAAACCGUAUGUCUACAAACAGUCGAAGUCUGUAUAUAUAUCAGGACGACGGCGUGCCUAUUGAAGAAUGAACCGACGAGUUACUGUUGCUAGCGAGGUUAAGUGGAAAACAUGGAGCCGCAGCGAAAGCGAGUCUGAACAGGGCGUUCAGUUAGUAAUAGUAGACCCGAAACCGUAGUGAUCUAUCCAUGGCCAGGUUGAAGCACAGGUAAAAUUGUGUGGAGGACCGAACUCGUGAGCGUUGAAAAGCUUUGGGAUGAGUUGUGGAUAGGGGUGAAAUGCCAAUCGAACACGGAGAUAGCUGGUUCUCCCCGAAAUAGCUUUAGGGCUAGCCUCGAGGUUGAGAGUC